UUCUGCUGUUCAGAUGUGUUCCGAGUUUCUUCCCUCUGGUGGGUUCAUGGUCUCACUGGCUCAGGAGUGAAGCUGUGGACCUUCACGCCAACUGUCUGGAGAUGCAGUUUUCCUUUGUCUCUCUGAAGACUUCCCGUGAGAUCAAGCACCAGAUAAGCUUGUUCCCUAGCUGUGACCAGUUCAAUAAUGCAUGCCUUUAAGUAUUUGCUCUGUUUCUUUCCUGAUUUACUCAAUAAUUAUCUUAUCUCCAGCUUCGCUGGUCUUGUGCAAGCUAAUAAAUAUUAACAUCUAA